GUGAGGAAUAUUGCGCAAUGGACGAAAGUCUGACGCAGCCAUGCCGCGUGAAGGAUUUACGGCCCUAUGGGUUGUAAACUUCUUUUGUAUAGGAAUAAACCCUCGUUCGUGAACGAGGCUGAAGGUACUAUAAGAAUAAGUACCGGCUAACUCCGUGCCAGCAGCCGCGGUAAUACGGAGGGUGCAAGCGUUAUCCGGAUUUAUAUGGGUUAAAGGGUCCGUAGGCGGAUCGUUAAGUCAGUGGUGAAAUCCUACCGCUAAACGGUAGAACUGCCAUUGAUACUGGCGAUCUUGAGUAUGUAUGAAGUUGGCGGAAUGUGUGGUGUAGCGGUGAAAUGCUUAGAUAUCACACAGAACACCGAUUGCGAAGGCAGCUGACUAAUACACAACUGACGCUGAGGGACGAAAGUGUGGGGAUCAAACAGGAUUAGAAACCCUUGUAGUCC
rnacentral:rRNA from 1 species